UGGGGAAUAUUGCACAAUGGGCGCAAGCCUGAUGCAGCCAUGCCGCGUGUAUGAAGAAGGCCUUCGGGUUGUAAAGUACUUUCAGCGGGGAGGAAGGGAGUAAAGUUAAUACCUUUGCUCAUUGACGUUACCCGCAGAAGAAGCACCGGCUAACUCCGUGCCAGCAGCCGCGGUAAUACGGAGGGUGCAAGCGUUAAUCGGAAUUAUUGGGCGUAAAGCGCACGCAGGCGGUUUGUUAAGUCAGAUGUGAAAUCCCCGGGCUCAACCUGGGAACUGCAUCUGAUACUGGCAAGCUUGAGUCUCGUAGAGGGGGGUAGAAUUCCAGGUGUAGCGGUGAAAUGCGUAGAGAUCUGGAGGAAUACCGGUGGCGAAGGCGGCCCCCUGGACGAAGACUGACGCUCAGGUGCGAAAGCGUGGGGAGCAAACA
rnacentral:rRNA from 1 species